rnacentral:rRNA from 1 species
AAUAUAUUUGAGAGGCAUCUCUUAAAUAUCAAAGGUGAGCCAGUACAGGAUGGACCCGCGUCUGAUUAGCUAGUUGGUAAGGUAACGGCUUACCAAGGCGACGAUCAGUAGCCGACCUGAGAGGGUGAUCGGCCACAUUGGAACUGAGACACGGUCCAAACUCCUACGGGAGGCAGCAGUGGGGAAUAUUGCACAAUGGGCGAAAGCCUGAUGCAGCAACGCCGCGUGAGUGAUGAAGGCCUUCGGGUCGUAAAACUCUGUCCUCAAGGAAGAUAAUGACGGUACUUGAGGAGGAAGCCCCGGCUAACUACGUGCCAGCAGCCGCGGUAAUACGUAGGGGGCUAGCGUUAUCCGGAUUUACUGGGCGUAAAGGGUGCGUAGGCGGUCUUUCAAGUCAGGAGUGAAAGGCUACGGCUCAACCGUAGUAAGCUCUUGAAACUGGGAGACUUGAGUGCAGGAGAGGAGAGUGGAAUUCCUAGUGUAGCGGUGAAAUGCGUAGAUAUUAGGAGGAACACCAGUUGCGAAGGCGGCUCUCUGGACUGUAACUGACGCUGAGGCACGAAAGCGUGGGGAGCAAACAGGAUUAGAUACCCUGGUAGUCCACGCUGUAAACGAUGAGUAC